rnacentral:miRNA from 1 species
CCUCGUUGAUCGGAAGGAACCCCUUCCGAUCAAAGAGGUCGAUGUACCUCCCUGACCGGAAGGGUUUCCUUCCGGUCAACGAGGAUGUACCUCGUUGAUCGGAAGGAAACCCUUCCGAUCAGGGAGGUAUAUCUACCUCUUUGAUCGGAAGGGGUUCCUUCCGAUCAACGAGG